rnacentral:rRNA from 1 species
UUGGGAUACUACUGGAACGGUAGCUAAUACCGCAUAACGUCGCAAGACCAAAGAGGGGGACCUUCGGGCCCCUUGCCAUCGGAUGUGCCCAGAUGGGAUUAGCUAGUAGGUGGGGUAACGGCUCACCUAGGCGACGAUCCCUAGCUGGUCUGAGAGGAUGACCAGCCACACUGGAACUGAGACACGGGUCCAGACUCCUACGGGAGGCAGCAGUGGGGAAUAUUGCACAAUGGGCGCAAGCCUGAUGCAGCCAUGCCGCGUGUAUGGAGAAGGCCUUCGGGUUGUAAAGUACUUUCAGCGGGGAGGAAGGUGUUGAGGUUAAUAACCUCAGCAAUUGACGUUACCCGCAGAAGAAGCACCGGCUAACUCCGUGCCAGCAGCCGCGGUAAUACGGAGGGUGCAAGCGUUAAUCGGAAUUACUGGGCGUAAAGCGCACGCAGGCGGUCUGUCAAGUCGGAUGUGAAAUCCCCGGGCUCAACCUGGGAACUGCAUUCGAAACUGGCAGGCUAGAGUCUUGUAGAGGGGGGUAGAAUUCCAGGUGUAGCCGGUGAAAUGCGUAGAGAUCUGGAGGAAUACCGGUGGGCGAGGCCGGCCCCCUGGACAAAAGACUGACGCUUCAGGUGCGAAAGCGUGGGGGAGCAAAUCACU